rnacentral:rRNA from 1 species
UACGUAGGGAGCAAGCGUUGUCCGGAAUCAUUGGGCGUAAAGCGCGCGUAGGCGGCCCUGUAAGUCCGUUGUGAAAGUCAAAGGCUCAACCUUUGAAAGCCGAUGGAUACUGCAGGGCUAGAGUCCGGAAGAGGCGAGUGGAAUUCCUGGUGUAGCGGUGGAAUGCGCAGAUAUCAGGAGGAACACCAAUAGCGAAGGCAGCUCGCUGGGACGGUACUGACGCUAAGGCGCGAAAGCGUG